rnacentral:lncRNA from 1 species
AUGGAAGGUUUGGGUUCAAUUCGGCCAUUAUUCGGAAUGGCUAAGACACGAUAUAAGGUUACUUUUCAAUUUAACUGUCGGUAUUCUCACACAGGUGCUUAUCUGCUCUCUAUAGCUGUUUGAAUGCAAGGCAGGAGCACAUUUGGUGAGCUCUUGAGGAUGGAGCAGACCUAGCCGGCACUGAGUGUAAUCUAAGAGACUGGAGGAGUUCCCAUCGUGGCUCAGUGGUUAACGAACCAGACUAGGAAUCAUGAGGUUGCGGGUUCCUGGCCUCACUCAGUGGGUGAAGGAUCUGGCGUUGCGUGAGCUGUGGUGUAGGUCGCAGAUGCGGCUCAGAUCCUGUGUUGCUGUGGCUCUGGCAUAGGCCAGUGGCUACAGCUCCGAUUAGACCCCUAGCCUGGGAAUCUCCAUGUACCACAGGUGCGGCCUUAGAAAAGACAAAAAAAAAAAAAAAAUACUGGAAUGAACAUACAAAUCAAUUUGGCUGUGACAUUUGUGAGAUGUGAUGUGGUGCUAGGAGAGCCCAGCCUCAAGGCCACUGAACCUAUGAAAUUAGUCAAGUCUCAGGAUUUCUAGACAGAAGUUUCUUCCUAGGACAAGGUGGUGCUUAGGGCAGUGGCUUCAGGUGAUCUUGAAAAAUGCAUUAAGCUCUUCAGAAAUCUCGCAAUCUCCUUACAUGUUAUGGAGAAGGGAGUCCCUGGAAAAAGGCCCUCAGGUCUUGCCAGUGGUAUCUGAGAAGCUGCUCACCGUCAUAAGCACUUCAGCGCUGCAAACUUAGCCAAGGAAGUGCACCCAGUACUCAGCUAACUUGUUUUUAAAGGGCUAUGGUUACACUGACAUGAAACCUUGGGACUUUCCCAUGAUUCUGGGCGUUUCUAAAACCCAAAUACCUCCAGACUGCAGCCCACCAGCUUCCUCUUGCUUUUGGUAGACUCCCAGCUGUAGGAGAAACCCGCUGAUCAUUUGCUUCUCUCAUUUCCCUUUGUAGAGGAGCCAGGCCCAGGGCCGACUUCCCCAGCAACUCAAGCUCCAGGGUGAGAUGGUUGCCUAGUUUCUGCUAACAGGUUGACCGGAAGAUGAUCUGCGGCCAAGGAAACAAGGCAAAAUGGGUGCCCUAAUUUGG